GAAAUAAUAUAUUAAGAAAAUUAAAAAAAAAAAAAAAAAAAAAAAAAAAAAAUCGUAAAAAGGAAGUGCAAGUUUUUUUUUUUUUCCAUAGUAACUUUACUUGGUUUUUU
rnacentral:ribozyme from 1 species